AUUGAACGCGGGCGGCAUGCUUGACACAUGCAAGUCGAACGGUAACAGGUUAAGCUGACGAGUGGCGAACGGGUGAGUAAUGCAUCGGAACGUGCCCGAUCGUGGGGGAUAACGCAGCGAAAGCUGCGCUAAUACCGCAUACGAUCUGAGGAUGAAAGCGGGGGACCGUAAGGCCUCGCGCGAUCGGAGCGGCCGAUGUCAGAUUAGGUAGUUGGUGUGGUAAAGGCCCACCAAGCCGACGAUCUGUAGCUGGUCUGAGAGGACGACCAGCCACACUGGGACUGCGAAACGGCCCAGACUCCUACGGGAGGCAGCAGUGGGGAAUUUUGGACAAAGGGCGAAAGCCUGAUCCAGCAAUGCCGCGUGCAGGAAGAAGGCCUUCGGGUUGUAAACUGCUUUUGUACGGAGCGAAAAGGUCCUUUCUAAUACAAGGGGCUCAUGACGGUACCGUAAGAAUAAGCACCGGCUAACUACGUGCCAGCCGCCGCAGUAA
rnacentral:rRNA from 1 species